rnacentral:rRNA from 1 species
AUGGAAAAACACCGCUCCUCUCGUAACGCCGCACGUUCUGAUUUUUUUCCCCACCACGAGCACCCCGCAACCGCCAGCAGCGCCGCAGAUCUUCCUUCGCCUCCGUGGACAACACCGCCCGCGAUCUUCCGAGCAGCAGCACCGCGAUCUUCCGUCGCCGCCAUUGGCAGCAGCUCCGGCGCUCUUCCCGGCCGUGAGCAGCAGCGCCGCAAUCUUCAGUCGCCACCAUUGGCAGCAGCGUCGGUUUCCUUUCGCCGCCGUGAGGAGCAGCGCCGGCGAUAUUCCCCGCCGUGUGCACCAGCGCCAAAGAUCCCGCCGCCAUCAUCGGCAACAGCGUGGCUGAUUUCUCUCCGCCGUCUGAGCAGCUGGCACCCUCUUUUCUCGUUGCAACCCAACCCUCUGCUGGCGGCUGUAGGCCACCGUUUCCUCUUCCCUUGCUCGAACCAAACACAUCGUGCAUUCGCUUAG